rnacentral:rRNA from 1 species
UACGUAGGGUGCAGGCGUUAAUCGGAAUUACUGGGCGUAAUGCGUGCGCAGGCGGUUUCUUAAGUCAGAUGUGAAAGCCCCGGGCUUAACCUGGGAACUGCGUUUGAAACUGGGAGACUUGAGUGUGGCAGAGGGGGGUGGAAUUCCUGGUGUAGCGGUGAAAUGCGUAGGGAUCAGGAGGAACACCGAUGGCGAAGGCAGGUCUCUGGGCCACUACUGACGCUGAGAAGCGAAAGCAUGGGGAGCGAACAGG